GGCGUCCGAUCCGUAACUUGGUCUGAGAGGAUGAUCAGUCACACUGGAACUGAGACACGGUCCAGACUCCUACGGGAGGCAGCAGUGGGGAAUAUUGGACAAUGGGCGAAAGCCUGAUCCAGCCAUGCCGCGUGUGUGAAGAAGGUCUUCGGAUUGUAAAGCACUUUAAGUUGGGAGGAAGGGCAGUUACCUAAUACGUGAUUGUUUUGACGUUACCGACAGAAUAAGCACCGGCUAACUCUGUGCCAGCAGCCGCGGUAAUACAGAGGGUGCAAGCGUUAAUCGGAAUUACUGGGCGUAAAGCGCGCGUAGGUGGUUUGUUAAGUUGGAUGUGAAAUGCCCCGGGCUCAWCCUGGGAACUGCAUUCAAAACUGACUGACUAGAGUAUGGUAGAGGGUGGUGGAAUUUCCUGUGUAGCGGUGAAAUGCGUAG
rnacentral:rRNA from 1 species